CACCCCUCCCAGCCGACAUUGGCUUUUUAAAAUCCUGUUUUGGUUUUUUAUUGUGAGCAUGCUGCAGUGAGCAAUAUGGUGAUCACUAGUGCUGUUUGGCAUUACUACCUUGGUUUAUGCUAAGGUGCAGCAGUUUCUCUCCACUGCUCUUGCAUUGUCAGUGCAGAAGGGAGCAAAGUUGAAAGGACAUCACAUUUUAAUGUGGUGCAAAGAAUUUUGACCUUGCAGACCCCCUUGGAGCAAGGCUCUGGAGGCCUCUCUGUCUCCCCUAGUUCUGUGGACCACAGUUGGAGGGCUAUGAUCUGGUCCAUCUCCCAUCCUAUUGAAGAACCCUUUCUGUAUCUUUGAGAAAUUACCUUUCCGUUUCCCUCAGGGAUGUCUAUUGCGGGGGAAAUUCACUACACUGUGAAGCAGCCCAUUACAUUUUUGAAAGUUCUGUAAACUAGGCUGGGCGCAGUGGCUCACACCUGUAAUCCCAGCACUUUGGGAGGCCGAGGCAGGUGGAUCACGAGGUCAGGAGUUUGAGACCAGCCUGACCAACAUGGUGAAACCCCGUCUCUAC
rnacentral:lncRNA from 1 species